UAAGAACAAAGGCUCCGCAACACAAGUCAGCCACAUUAAAAGAAAGCUGCAACCAAUUAUUAUGCUGCAGUGGCUUAGCCAAGGAAAUCUGGGGUUUUUCCACUCCUAUCAACUUAUUUAAGACAAUAUUCUCCCUUUCCCUCCACCCUACUUUUCACUUCCUGGAAUAUGCUGGGAACAUCCCACAAGAUCACAGUUCUACUUGCCAUCUACCUGGGUUCCCUAGCUCACGACAAGGGGUGUAUAAUCCAUCUUCAUGUUUAUCAGACACUGAAGAGUUUGUUUCUGAGACUUCUUGCCAAGAGCUCCCGGAAUUCCCUACUUUUAUUUGCAGACAAAUGCCAUAAAGCCAAACAAAACUGGAAAAGAAGGAAAACGCCGUCUCUCCUUCUUCGUUCCCCUUUACAAGACAGCAAAACGCUCCAGCAAGCAAACACCAGCUCACCAGCCCAGACUGCUGUCAAAGAGCAGUAUGCCAAAAGGGACAUAAGGUUGUUCCUUAGGAAGACGAGUUUAAGAGACUGCAAGGAUGAGAACCUCAGGCACAGCACAUUUAGGCAGAAGUUGUUUCAGAAAAGUGCACUGUUAAAGAAUUCCUGGAGAAGUACACACUCAUGUCUGAAUCAAGAAAAUCAUAAGCACAAACAGUGCAUCACUCCUGGUCAGCAGUUAACGCUUCAGGUACCGAUGAAGGAGUACACCUAGACUGUUGCUCUUGAUUACAACCACAAGACAUUCAAGAUCACAUGGCAGAAAUGAAAUCACCUUUCAACCUGAGUCAGAAUUCACUGCCAUUAGUGACUGACAAUAUGGGCUUUUAGCUCUUGGUACGCUCCUGAAUUGACAAUGCCACUACUAAAACCUUGUUUCAGAAAACAGAAUCACAGAAUUGUAGGGGUUGGAAGGGACCUCUAGAGAUCAUUGAUCCAACCCUUCUGUUAAAGCCGGUUGCCUACAGCAGGUCACACAGCUCAUCCACAAUCUGUUCUGGCAUCUGAAGAUGAUCAAGAAGAACAGGCAGCAAAAGAUCCACAAAGUGUUCAGCUGAGGCACUGUUCCCACUACUAACAACAUCCUGUAAUAAACAAAUUUUAUGUCAAUAUUUAGAACUACAGAAUAAGGAAGACAAGUCGAUUCUACUCCUUGUAUUCAAGCUUGUAUUCAAGUCUUCCCAGACUAUUUCUAUUUCAGGUUUAAGACUUAUGAUCAGUAUCAUACUGGAGAAUCAAGUUUAACAAAUAAUGCUGGAAAAGCAGAAACUCACUUCUACAAGUCCUUGAAAACAAGUACUGAAUAGUUUUGUUUCUACUUCAUGAACAGCCAACAUAAUUUUCAGAAAAGAUAUCUUUCUAAUACAGUCCUCAAAAUAUAUUUCUAAUGUGCUUAAAAACAGAUAAUUUUAAAAACAUUUCUGGUAUAUUUUUACGUCCCAUUUUUCAAGUAAAACACUAAUAAAUACUUAAAAAUUGAUCAAAGCAAAACUGUAACAGCUAAGUAGCACUUUAAGCUCAAUCAUUAGCAUUCAUACCUCAAAGACCUCUUUGAAUAGCUGCAGUGCUAGAACUGAACAGUCUUCAGAGCCUUCCAAUGGUUGGUUUGACAAAUGCACCAGUGCAACAGAUGGUUCAAAAGUCUUUGAGCGAGUCACAAAUCUGGUAUUUCCAGAGACUGGCAAGCCAGAUGGUUCCAGUAUUGCCUGCCGCAGGGUAUGACGCAGUUCUACCACAGAACAGAAGGCAAGCAGCAGUUCUAAGAUCUGUAUGAAGUGAAUGAAAGAGUUCAAAUACUUCUAAACCAGCUACUCAUAUAAAAAUUGCAACUCCCGUGGCACAAAUCUAAGAAAUAUCUAAGUUAUAAACAAUUGCUCUUGACAUUUUAGAAUUCUAUGAAGGAUAUUUUUUCUGUGAAGUCAAGUCAGCAGCACAGUCCAUUAGACUAGUCAUUAAAAAUAAUUUUAAAAAAGGACCAACUGCUCUCUAAUUACUCCUCAGUUGCAGAAAUGCUAUUCUGAGAUACAGAUAGCCGUGAGAUGAAGACCCCUGGAAAGCUCCAUGUCAACACAUUUCUCAAUUAUAACCAAUAAUCAACAAAAAAAACCCCAUACAUAGAAACAUUAGCUUUCAUCAUUUACUAUGAUGCAAAAAUGCUUUGAUUAGAAAAGUUUAAGAUUGGUCAACAUAUAUCUUUGAAACAUUUUCAGGACAAAUAAUAUUUUAGCAUUUAGCACCACGUAGCCAAUGUUUUAAUUAUGUAAAGUGGUAGUGAGACAAAGUUGAAUGCAAUAGAGAAAUGCUUAACCCAACGUGACAUCAAAUUGUCCAAAUACUGUGGAAUAAUGUGUUUCUAAGCUUUCAGAACUACUAGGAAAUAAAUACCAAGCAAAAAAAAAAAAAUCAAAUAAAAAAAACAACCAAUAACCCACAAAUAAACAAAUUCAACCAUAAAGUCUUUUGAAGAAUUAGAUUUAAGCUGAUAAACAUUGUAGGGUCAAUAAAGAGUCCUUAUGUCAAUUUACUUCAUUAUCAGUUCUCACACACAAGGAAUCUAUUUAUGGCUACAGAUGUGGAACUAUAUUAUGACUUGUACCCUCUUGGUCUUCUGAUGAAGUACCUUAGAUAAUGAAUCUGGAUCCUUUCCAUGAAGGAGAUCUAAUACUUGACCAAGGCAUGAGGUGAAGUGCUCAUAUCUACAGCACAGAUGGAAGGAAAGAUGGAAAAAAAUAAUUUAGUAUCAAUAAUUUGGUAUCAAUAUCUAAUAAUGUUCAAGUAAUGAAUACCUGAGUCCAAUUUUCUUUUUACCCCCAAACACUUCAAGCACAGUAAUACUUUUGAUGGUGUAGUUUCAAUGCAAUAUAAGCUAAAUUUUAAAAAUAUUCUCAGAAUUAGAACAAGUAUUUUUACUGCUAGAGAUUUGGAUUGAAGUUCAGCAACUAAGUUUGGCUAGUGGAAUGUGCAGAACCAGUAGACAAGCAUUUCACAUAACAACUCUGUGAUGCCCUGCAGGAAAAUUCUUAUCACUUUGCCAGCACUACUACACUUCAAAAUAUUGAAGGACUAUAAAAAAAAAACAUGAUAGCUAUUCAUCAGAUUGUCUGACCACCAGUACUGACCAAAGAAUUAUUGAACACAAUCAUUAAACAUUUCUUAAGCAGCAAUUAAAGCGCGGGUUUUGAUUCAUGCUUCUGUGUAAAACAGGUAACACAAGAACCCUUUAGCUUCGGAUAGAGCAGAUACUCACCUAGUAACACUCAAGAAGCAACCAUGAAUUUUUAAUGAAGCCAUACCUGCUAAGAUAAUCUGCAACUUUGGGGUUUUUCAGAAGAUCCAUAAGUAGAUCAACAGAGUAUUUUCUUGUUAGAGUACCAUCUCCAUUUACAACAAUAUUGAAUAUUAACUGAAAAGUCUGAUGGAUAUUCCGUGCAUGAAAGAGCUGAAAGGAAAAAUAAAAUUAUGCAUGUGAACAUG